ensembl:lncRNA
AAACCUCCUAGCUGCUUCUUGGUGGUAGGCCGUCUGAGGGAACCAAUUGGAUCCAAAUUUAUUUUGCUAACCAUCUCAGGGCAGCUGCACCCUGGGGCCAGGCAGGCCUCCUAUGGCACACUCAGGCCCAGCGGUGAGUGGGGACAGAUGGAAGCUGCACUGGGAAGCUAUGACGGUCACCGGGAGACUGAGUUAGAGGAACUCUUAAGAAGGGAUGUGGGCCAGGUGGUGGCUGCGACUUGACUGUCAGAGGGAGCUGAAUGUUCUCGGAAAGACGAUGCCAGUGUUCCGAGGUACCACGCCAGGUGCUGGAAUGCAAGGUGAGGAUGACAAACUGAGAAGUGCUGUAGAGACAGGGGACAAGGAACUGCCUGGGAAGGUGCGUGAGGGCUUCCGUAGAGGUGCCCAUGGAGCCGGGUGUGGAGGAAGGAUUAGCGCGUUCUUUGGGCGACCGGCUGCGGUUCUCAAGACUGAUAAGGAAGCCUGCACCAAUCUCUGUUGGAGGCCAGCGUCCUGAUAAGCGUGCUCUCUGUCUCCAGGCAUCUUCCGUGGAAUCCCUCUGGGAGGGUUUUGCCUGGUACCCUAAUGCUCGUGGAAUGAACACACCGGAGGCCUGCUGUCUGGGUCUGCAGAUAGAUGAGGGUGAGAGGCUGCGUGAACCACUUCUUGCUUUGCAAGAAGCAGGCGCUGCCCUCAGAGGUCAAAUGACGAGGGUGGUGGCAGGCAUUCCGUUGCAAGACAUUUGGAUGUGUGUCCAACAGCCCUUAGCAGGGCAGGCCUGGGAAUCAGGAGACGUGGGCUGGAGUGAUCUGCAUAGAGUUAUGUUGAAGUUUUUACUUUGGCAAAAAAAAGAAAAGAAGAAGAAAUAUUUUUCUGAUGACAUAUAGCUGAGAAGUCUAUAAAUGUUUUAGGAUGACAUAGUCGGGGGGAAUCCUGGAUCAUAUCUAAAAAGAUGGAGUUUCAUAAGAAAAAUUGACUUGGCUUCAGGAAAACCAAUUGCACAGAUAUAAGGAAGAUGUGUCUGAAUGAUGGCAGGUGUGUGAGGGGCUGCGGAUCCAGAGGAUGACGUAAUGCAUUCAAGGGGUGAGAGACGCAGCCGCAGGAUGCAUUCACAACAGUGUAGAACGUGGAACGAAGGCACAGAGGACAAUCCUGGAUCCUCUGGGAAGCUCACUUUCUCAGAACUGGUUGGAAGAAGUAAUUUCCCAGGAGUCCCAUUCUAGUCACAGAAAGAACUUUCUAAGAGUGAGAGCUGUCCGAGGAUACAUAGGUUUCCUUGGAUCAGAGUGAGCUCCCUGUCGCUGGAUGUAUGCAAGCAGCCACAGGGCAGGGAGGCUGCACAGGGCCAGGUACCAGGGCUGUUCUCAUUGUCAUCUUCCUUCCCAGCAGUGGCACCAUGCAUGGCUCAGACACAAGCCAUAAUAAUUGCCUAAUUAGUGAAUUGAUGAAUAUCACAAAUCUGGAGAAAAUCGAUGGGCUGCGGUGUUCCUUCCAGGUCUGGAUGCUAUGGUGCCAUGAAAUCCCCACGAGAGAAGAGGCAUCUACUAGUUUCUUACUUCUGCUGUAACAAAUCACCACUAACUUAGUGGGCUAAAACAACACACAUUUAUUCUCCUGAAGUUCUGGAGGUCAGAAGUCCAAAAUCAGGACCCCUGGGCUGAAGUCAAGGUGUUGGCAGGGCUGGCUCCUUACAGAAGCUUUCAGGGUAGAUUCCGUCUCCUGCCUUUUCAGUUUCUAGAGGCCACCUGGAUUCCUCGACUCGUGGCCCCUUCCUCCAUCCUCAAAGCUCUCAGCUCCAAGCUCUUCCUACAUCGUCACUUUCCCUUCUCUCUUCUGUGGUCGCAUCUCCCUCUGCCUCCUGCAUAUAAGAACAUUUGUGAUUCCACUAGUGACGCACCCAGAUAAUCCAGGGUAACCUCUCCAUGUCGAGAGAGAUGUCUCCAUCUUCAUCACAUCUGCAAAGUCCCUUUUGCCACAUAAGGAAAAUUCUCAAGUGCCAGGGACUAGGGUAUGGCCACUUUCGUGGUGGGGGAGGGGGGGAGCAUGAGUUAUUUAAAUUACCACCGGGUGGAAGAGAAUAAAACCAGGAGUGGGUUAUUGGAGGCACCUCCCUGUCUGGGGAAGGGAAGAAAGUGGAACUAGGGAAGGAGGCAGAAGAAAGAAGCCACGAAGUUCAGAGGACCCACGACCACGUGGUGACCAGCAACCUGGGGAGAAGGAUACGGGGGAGUUGGAAAGAGAAGGUGGUGGCCAGGGUGGAGAAAGAUCAGGGUUUGGCCUGACUCUUUCACUGUAGCAUCCUCAGUUCCUGGAGCUGUGCCUGACAUAUAGUAGCUUCUCAAUAAGGGUGCGUUGAAUGAAUGAAUAACUGGGGAUGUUGCUACUGGCUGAAGAAACAGCUGUGCUGGUGGGCCUGGGUCAGCAUCUUCCCAAGGCCGGGCUCUGUAAAUCCCCGUGGGAAGCUGAGAUACGGGCUGGGCAUGACCUGUGCCAGAAUGAGAACUGGGCCCCGACGAGGCUAGCCUCUCCACCUGCUCUGUUUCAGAGGCUCGGCGGCCGCCUUCAGAGCAUGAGCUUUGUGUAAGGUUGCAUUGAACCCAGAGAAAAGGUGAAGGCAUGCGGCCCGGAAUACUGAUGGGGAUUUGGCACGCAGAAGUGAGAGCUCUGCGCAGUUUAAGGCCUUGGGUUUUGUCCCACUUUCUGAAGGAGAAGAUGUGAGACUUAGCAAGCACCGAGCGUCCACGUGUACACGCCAAGGAACAGAUACCGUGCCAAUGAGCAAACUGUGAUUCAGAAAACCUUCUCCCUCUUCCAAUCUUUCCUGCUUCGGAGACAGAACGCAAAUGUCCCUGCGUUCCAGCUGUAACGCAAGUCUUGCCGCUGAUUAAAGGGCAGACCUGGAAACUCUCCGGUGAGCUAUGCUCCUAACUAUGUCUCCUGCUCACUCCAUCCAGCAGACAGAGGACAGCUUUUCCUUGCUGUUUAUUCACUGGAGCUGCUGGGGCCCUUCACAUUUAAUUAUGUGUGCUUGCAAAAUAAAUGUGGAAUGAAAUGUUCGCAUUCCCCGAAGUUGAUGCUGUGGCAGGCCGGGAUGAGUGAGGAUGCUGUCUCUGUGCCGAGCAUAGCGGGGGCUUUGAGCCUUGUGCAGACGGAUGGAUGCUGCGAAAGCCAGAGCGCCUUACAUUCCUCUGCUGGGUUGGUACCAGGCAUGCACAUGUCAGCCUCCUGUUAAGGGCUUUGAUAUUGGAUUUCUUAGAAUUCGGAGACAGUUAUUCAUUUAUCAAAGCCUACAAGUUAGUGCAGAAUAAACUCUCUGUAAGGCACUAUGCUGACUCUUAGCAGAGGAGGCUCCGGGCUGUAGGUUCAUUCAUUGAAUCGAUCCUUCAUUCGUUC